AAAUUUAGGUUAACGACAAACCAAGGACCUUCAAAGCCCUAAAUAGGUACUAAUUUCUGAAGACCUG
rnacentral:tRNA from 1 species